AACGCAUCUUGCGCUCCCUGGUAUUCCGGGGAGCACACCUGUUCGAGUGUCGUGAAUACCUCAAGCUGUCUACCUUUGUGUAGUCAGCUUGGACUUGGACUCUUGCCGUGUUCGCCAUGGCUAGUCUUAAAUACAUUAGCUGAUCCUCGCUCUGUGUGUCUGGUUCUACUCAGCGUGAUAAGUUUCUGACCGCUGAGGACAUCUGCCUAACCGUAGAUGGCCAGAUGGACCUUGGGUUGCUUCUAACCUGUCUGCUGAAAUCAUUCAGCAACACCCCUCUUCACCUUUGACCUCGAAUCAGGUGGGACUACCCGCUGAACUUAA
rnacentral:misc_RNA from 1 species